AGGCUGUGUAUGAUGAUAGCAUAGUUCAGCAGAUAACCUGUGAUGAUCACUCUGCUAGUCUUUCGCUCCUAUCUGAUGCAGCCU
ensembl:snoRNA